GAUGAACGCUGGCGGCGUGCCUAAUACAUGCAAGUCGAGCGAACAGACGAGGAGCUUGCUCCUCUGACGUUAGCGGCGGACGGGUGAGUAACACGUGGAUAACCUACCUAUAAGACUGGGAUAACUUCGGGAAACCGGAGCUAAUACCGGAUAAUAUAUUGAACCGCAUGGUUCAAUAGUGAAAGACGGUUUUGCUGUCACUUAUAGAUGGAUCCCGCCGCAUUAGCUAGUUGGUAAGGUAACGGCUUACCAAGGCAACGAUGCGUAGCCGACCUGAGAGGGUGAUCGGCCACACUGGAACUGAGACACGGUCCAGACUCCUACGGGAGGCAGCAGUAGGGAAUCUUCCGCAAUGGGCGAAAGCCUGACGGAGCAACGCCGCGUGAGUGAUGAAGGUCUUCGGAUCGUAAAACUCUGUUAUUAGGGAAGAACAAAUGUGUAAGUAACUAUGCACGUCUUGACGGUACCUAAUCAGAAAGCCACGGCUAACUACGUG
rnacentral:rRNA from 1 species